rnacentral:rRNA from 1 species
UGGGUAACCUGCCUCAAAGAGGGGAAUAGCCUCCCGAAAGGGAGAUUAAUACCGCAUAAUAUGUUUAAGUCGCAUGACUUUAACAUCAAAGGAUUUUCUUUUAGAAAUUCCACUUUGAGAUGGACCCCGCGGCGCAUUAGCUAGUUGGUGAGGUAACGGCUCACCAAGGCAACGAUGCGUAGCCGACCUGAGAGGGUGAUCGGCCACAUUGGAACUGAGACACGGUCCAGCUCCGUAGGAG